CCAGGGUCUGUUCAACUUCUUAUUCACCAAAGCAUACAGAAACAGGGUUCCAUCAGAAAUUUUCCUUCCGGUGAUAAUCCAGUUUUUCAUUUUUGCAUAGAGAAGAAUGAAGAAAAAUUAGCAGAGUUUAAGGUUAAAUUGAGGAGGGCAGAAACAAAGGGAUGCUCUUCAAGAACCUGAGGCUUCACCUUUUGAAAAAGAGAAAGGUAAAAGAGGAGCUGAAAAAGAUUAGAGAUCUUACAAAGGAAAGCGCCGGAUUAAAAACUAAGGAGGAAAUUUACCUUGUAUUGUUGGUCUGCUAGUUAUUGGCAUUGUUGACUCCUUGAUCUCUUCAUCAUCUGAUUGGCACAAAGUUCCGAUUCUUGUGGUAAUUUUGGUCGGUGUGCUUUCACAAGUCAUCUACGAGCAGAGUAUGCUGUCAGAAACAGAACGAUCACAUGAAGCAAAAACAGAGGAAGAGAAAGAGUGAUGACUUUUCUUGCCAUUUUAUUCUAUAUUUACUAGAGUUUUUCACUUCAUAUUAAUUUUCUUUUCUGUUUUUUCUUUUCUUUUAGUCACUUCACUUGAAUAUAGCAUGAUACAUAACCCCAAGAAAGAUUUUUACUACUUGGGACUGAUAAAUCAAGCUACUUUGCUUUUGCAUCAUCAUUCAUACUUGGUGAUAUUUCUGUAAUCACCAAAUCCUUGUUUAAUCAGAUGCCUAUGUUACAUUUCCAGUAGUAUACUGGAACAAACAAAGAGUUGAGAUAUUUAUUAAUAUUGUAAGGUUAAAAGACUUGAUGAACUUAUGAACAUAUAUUUAUACAGUAUUUAUCUUUUGUCCUCUGCAAAUGAAUUUUGAUAACCAAAUAUGAAUAUCGCGUGAGGCAUAACCCCUAGCAAGAUCUUAUUACUUGGGACUAUAUAAUCAGGCUUCUUUGCUUUUGCAUCAUCAUCCGUUUUAGGUGAUAUAUCUGUAAUCACCAAAAACCAGUUGUAUCUGAUGCUUUACAUGGGUCUUUUCUUCAUCAAUAAUUUUUUUUAAAAAAAAAAGAGAGAGCCGGGACUUUUAGCAUUACCAGUUGCCUGAAUCUCAAAAGCACAGAAAGAAACAGAAGAAAUAACUGAAAUACAUAUAUAGUGUGUAGUAUUUACAAUUAACAUAAUUUUGUAGUUUAUUUUUCGGCCAAAAUUAUAGUAAAAUAUUCAAGUCUUAUUGUUACUUCAUCAAACAAGACAUCCAAAAUAUAACAUUUUAAUUAAAAUAAUUUUACAGGGUAGCAGAUCCGUACUUGUCACUUGUCAAUCAUCUAAUCAUAGAUAGUGAAAUUGAUUGGAUUAAUUAUUUUACAGGGGAGCAAGUACAUACUAGUAACUCCAAAAUACUAAAAACAAUUCUAGCAAUUUUAUACAUGCAAAGAGCGGAACUGAGUAUAUCAAAUGUAGAACUGAUUUUUGGAGAAUGAAAGUUAAUGACGUCAGUUCUGGGAACUUACCUCUUCGCCAACUAGAUUACUUUGAGAAGUCUCUGUACAACAGGCAGCAUUUGCAAACAUAUCAAAUUAAACCUGCCGAGAUACAGAAGCUACCUUAGGAAACAAGUAAACAACUCAAAAAAAGAAAAAAGCAGCAAACAGAAUUCAGAUGAGUAAAGUAGCAGCUCAUACAUUAAUGGAAAAGUUAUCCGUAUGUAUAAUUGAACUGUGGAUAGAAACUUAUGCUCUCCAAACCAAACAUAUAACUAUUUGAAAAAAUCCAACAUUUUUCAUAGAUGCAUGAGAGGUAUCUUACACUCACUUCUUAGAAUGCAGGACCAUACCACUGAUACAAAUUUGCAGUCACUAGAUUUGUGAAAAAUGACAAGUCUUGUGGGGGAUACAAGAGUUGGGGCACAUGUCCACUGAUCAUUGACAAAUAUAGCUGCAACACAUAACACCCCUCUCCACCCCGACAAACAUAAUCCAUGUAUCUAACUACUAUAUGUAAAUAAAUUCACCCUAUGACUCUGGUUCUAGUGAAAACAAUGAAAGUCUAGUUAUGCUCCAGUUGAACGGGUAAAAGUUCUACGGUGAAGAGCCCAGUCAACGCAACCGAGUUUCAUGCUCAUUCUGCAUUAUCCUAUGGGACCUAUUCCAAAUCUACAAACUCUCACAUUAAUUUUCCGCACUAGCACAAACCACUAAUCAUAACAGUAUAAGUACCAACAUUAGCGUAAACAGAUGACCUUUAAAAUCAACUUCUUCUACACCUUAUUAGCUGCCACCAAAUCUCCUUUCUUGAAACCCCAUUAAUUAGAAUAUUAUAACACAUCACGUACAACCUAACCGCAUCCCAUUACUUAGCACUCUUGGCAAACCCAUUGAUGACAAUUUGAUAACUGAAUACAUUCCAGCGUUAAACCCUGACCCCACAUUCAAUCCAAAAUUUCCUGCGCCUUAUCAAAAUGCUUCUUCUUACAUGAAAUUUUCAACACAAUGUUAAAGGCUCCAAAUUAGGCCACAUGCCCAUUGUUUCAAAAUCUAAAAAACAGCUAAGCUCGAUUCCAGUGACUUGAUGAAGCAACAAAAGCAUACACCAGAAAGUAUAUGACCUUAUUCCGGGUUAACACCCAAAUUACGUUAAAUCUGUAAGAAAACAUUUAGCUCACAUUCAACCAUAAAGUUCUGAGAACAUACCUUAACUACCGUCAAAGCAACAUCUUCAUUGCAUUUGCAUUCCUGGGUUUGUAUUAGCUCACGAUUUGAGUUGCACGAGAGACGAGUUUUGGGUCGGCGACAAAACGGAAGAUAUGGUGGAAGACAGUGACCGUGUGGGUUUAAGUGUGUUUGUU
rnacentral:lncRNA from 1 species